rnacentral:rRNA from 1 species
ACCAAAAGAAUUCAGAAUUAAUAUUGUAACAUAGACGUAAAAAAUCUAUAAAACAACUUUUAACAACGGAUCUCUUGGUUCUCGCAUCGAUGAAGAACGUAGCAAAGUGCGAUAACUAGUGUGAAUUGCAUAUUCAGUGAAUCAUCGAGUCUUUGAACGCAACUUGCG